rnacentral:rRNA from 1 species
GAUGAACGCUAGCGGGAGGCUUAACACAUGCAGGUCGAGGGGUAAAUGGUAGCAAUACUAUGAGACCGGCGAACGGGUGCGUAACGCGUAUGCAACUUACCUUAUGCAGGGGGAUAGCCCGUGGAAACGCGGAUUAAUAUCCCACAGAUCAGUAAUAUCGCAUGGUAUAACUGGUAAAACUCAGGUGGCAUAAGAUGGGCAUGCGUCUGAUUAGCUAGUUGGUAGGGUAACGGCCUACCAAGGCGACGAUCAGUAGGGGUUCUGAGAGGAUUAACCCCCACACUGGUACUGAGACACGGACCAGACUCCUACGGGAGGCAGCAGUGAGGAAUAUUGGUCAAUGGGCGCAAGCCUGAACCAGCCAUCCCGCGUGAAGGAAGAAGGCCCUACGGGUUGUAAACUUCUUUUCUGUUUGAAGAAUAAGCUCGUCGAGACGAGUGAUGCCGGUAGGACAGGAAUAAGCAUCGGCUAACUCCGUGCCAGCAG